AUUGAACGCUGGCGGCAUGCCUUACACAUGCAAGUCGAACGGUAACAGGUCUUCGGAUGCUGACGAGUGGCGAACGGGUGAGUAAUACAUCGGAACGUGCCUAGUAGUGGGGGAUAACUACUCGAAAGAGUGGCUAAUACCGCAUGAGAUCUAUGGAUGAUAGCAGGGGAUCGCAAGACCUUGUGCUACUAGAGCGGCCGAUGGCAAAGUAGGUAGUUGGUGGGAUAAAAGCUUACCAAGCCGACGAUCUGUAGCUGGUCUGAGAGGACGAUCAGCCACACUGGGACUGAGACACGGCCCAGACUCCUACGGGAGGCAGCAGUGGGGAAUUUUGGACAAUGGGCGCAAGCCUGAUCCAGCAAUGCCGCGUGCAGGAUGAAGGCCUUCGGGUUGUAAACUGCUUUUGUACGGAACGAAAAGCCCUGGGUUAAUACCCUGGGGUCAUGACGGUACCGUAAGAAUAAGCACCGGCUAACUACGUGCCAGCAGCCGCCGUAACAC
rnacentral:rRNA from 1 species